rnacentral:rRNA from 1 species
AGGACGAACGCUGGCGGCGUGCUUAACACAUGCAAGUCGGGCGGUAAGGCCUUUCGGGGUACACGAGCGGCGAACGGGUGAGUAACACGUGGGUGAUCUGCCCUGCACUUCGGGAUAAGCCUGGGAAACUGGGUCUAAUACCGGAUAUGACUUCAGGUUGCAUGACUUGGGGUGGAAAGAUUUAUCGGUGCAGGAUGGGCCCGCGGCCUAUCAGCUUGUGGUGGGGUAAUGGCCUACCAAGGCGACGACGGGUA